GUGCUAUGCUGUGUGGCAGCACAUGCACUGACAUUGGAAUGAUGCAGGGAAGAUGAACACGGCCCCAUGCAAAGAUGAUAUGCACAUUUUUGAAGCUUUCUGUAUUUUU
ensembl:snRNA U6 U6 spliceosomal RNA